CCAAGCCAGCCACGAUCCAAAUCGAUUCGUUUUUUUUUUUUUAAAAAAAAAAAAACUUCCCUUGCCUUCUUCGUCUUCUUCUUCAAUGGUCGGUCCUUCUACGUCCUCUUUCUGGGUGUUUCUUUUUAUAUAAACAUCAAGCGGCCGUCUCGUUUCUCUGGGUUUUCUUCGUUCUUCUGGGUUUUCUGUUGUUUUCGGUUCUCCGGUCGUGUGAAUGUUGAAGAAGAGUUCGAUGACAUGAGGAAGAAACUCGAUACUCGUUUUCCGGCUGCUCGGAUUAAGAAAAUUAUGCAAUCGGAUGAGGAUGUAGGGAAGAUUGCCAUGGCCGUGCCUCUUCUUGUUUCCAAAGCACUAGAACUCUUUUUGCAAGAUUUAUGUGAUCGGACGUAUGAAAUAACGUUGAGAAGAGGGGCAAAGACAAUGAAUUCUUUCCAUUUAAAACAGUGUGUACAGACUUUUAAUGUCUUCGAUUUUCUGAAAGAUAUUGUCAGCAAGGUUCCUGAUUUAGGUGGCCAUGCUGCUUCUGGAGAUGACCGUACUGUCUGUAAGAGAAGGAAGGUUGAUGAUGAUGGAAAUGACAGUGAAGAUGAUGCAAAGAGAAAUAAGAUGCCAGAAAAUGCACAUCAUGCUGGUGGUAGAGGAAGGGGUCGGGGCAGAGGCAGGGGUCGUGGCCGAGGAAGUAGAACAAUGGAUCGAGAGAUGACUGCAAAUGUCAAGUCUGAAGAUGAUCAUCAUACUGAUGCAUUGAAGCAUCAUGACAUGUGCACUCACAGCGAUGAAAACAUGGAAAUUGGCACAGAACAUGAAGUGAAGCCUUCCAUUAGCAAGACAUCAGAAGCAUGCUUUAGAGAUUUUGACUUAAAUAUGGAUCCUGUGGAUGAAGACGGGGAUUCGCCGACCAGCAUAGCUCCUGUUCCACAACCUUGUCCAUCCGUAAAACCAACUCCAACUUGUUCAUCUGAAAAACCAACCACAGAAUUGAGACACGAAGAAAUCCCAGGGUGGACAUUGUCUGAUGUGGAAAAAAUGGCCAUUGAUCCAAUCCAACUGGUCAACAUGAAUGGAAGGAUGGAUGAAGAAGAUGAAGACUAUGAUGAAGAAAGUUAGUGAUGGAGAAUUAGAGUUAGAUUUAGGGCUUCAGACUUCAGAGUGAUGACAGAUCUUUAGCUGUUAGGGAGACUGACUUACUAGGAGGUAGAUGAGAUUGAAAUGCAGUCAGGGGGAGUAAGAUGCAGCAAGCAGAUUGAGGUGUCUGAAAAGAAGCACAUGUAAAGCGUAGAACCGUCAUCCUGUGAAUGAAAACACAGGAAAUUGAUGACUGUAUACUUCCACAGAUAUGCCCACCCACUUUUAUUACUAGCUUGAAGUGAUGAAAAACCACGUAUUCAUCUUCACUUGGGUCGCGAUUUGAUGAAAAGGUAACGUUGGGAUUCACGAUUUUUCUUUGUUGAUGAUUCUGUAUGUUUGAAACGCACUCCAAAUAAUCAAAAACACAUUUUGGCCCCACAGCGAUGCUCUGUUUCUGAUUUCUGC